UGAGGAAUAUUGGUCAAUGGACGAGAGUCUGAACCAGCCAAGUAGCGUGCAGGAUGACGGCCCUAUGGGUUGUAAACUGCUUUUGUUUGGGAAUAAUCGACAUUACGUGUAAUGUUUUGCAUGUACCAUUCGAAUAAGGACCGGCUAAUUCCGUGCCAGCAGCCGCGGUAAUACGGAAGGUCCAGGCGUUAUCCGGAUUUAUUGGGUUUAAAGGGAGUGUAGGCGGUUGGUUAAGUCAGCGGUUAAAGGGUGUGGCUCAACCAUGCAUUGCCGUUGAAACUGGCGAUCUUGAGUGCAGACAGGGAUGCCGGAAUUCGUGGUGUAGCGGUGAAAUGCUUAGAUAUCACGAAGAACUCCGAUCGCGAAGGCAGGUGUCCGGGCUGCAACUGACGCUGAGGCUCGAAAGUGUGGGUAUCAAACAGG
rnacentral:rRNA from 1 species